AUUGUCUUUUCCUAUUUCUUUCUAAAGUUGAUGGUUAAGUCUUUUCAUUUGUCCUGAUUUUUUUGGUUUUCACGCAAGUUAUUCUUCUUUUCUUCCUUCUCCAUCUUCUCAGCCGCCUCCUCUACUCAGUCUGCGGUUUCUCCAUCUUCCGAUUCAACCUCCGUCACCUCCCCUCUUUCUUUUCUUCCGAUUCAGUCUGCAUAGGGAAAUAGCUCCAUAGGUGACAUGAUUUCUCCUUCUUCGAUGAAAAAUAGAAAAUCGCGACUCCUAUCAGACAUCAAAAAAAUUACUCCGGCGAAUUUACUAAAGUCGACGUCUUCACCACCCACCUGAUGGAUGAGAGGAGAUGACUUCUCCUUCGCCGAAGAAAAAAUAAAAAACGCCAACGGCGACUCCUCUGGGCAAAUAAAAGCCCCUUUAGAUGAAAGGCGGAGGAGUGACGACGGAAAAUAAGACGGAGAUCGACACGAGCGCCCCUUUCCGGUCGGUUGAAGAGGCGGUGAUGUUGUUCGGAGAGAGAGUUCUUGCUUCUGAGGUUUAUGCUAACAAGCUCAAAGAGUUUCUGAUUUUCAUGUAGUAAAGCUCAUUUAUGAGUAUCUGAAUUAGUCAUGGCAAGAAGAUCAUCAAGAAUUCAAGAAGUUGAUGAGAAAAAUGAACCGAGCUGUAUGUGGGGAUUGUUGAGCAUCCUUGAAUCAUGUCAAGGUCGUCACAGAAACAUCAUCGGUAUAAUGCAUUAUGUUUCAACACCAGAAGAAGUUAUGAGAUUGUUGAUGGUAGGUUUGGUUAUGAGUCAAAUUGUUGGUUAUAUUCGCUUAAUUCUUUUAAUGUUGUAGAAAAUUGUUGCCUUUUAAACUAUAAUGUAAUUGUUCAAAGAGUUAUCCAAAUUUAAA